UACGUAGGGGGCAAGCGUUGUUCGGAAUUACUGGGCGUAAAGGGCUCGUAGGCGGCCAACUAAGUCAUACGUGAAAUCCCUCAGCUUAACUGGGGAACUGCGUGUGAUACUGGAUGGCUUGGAUUUGGGAGAGGGAUGCGGAAUUCCAGGUGUAGCGGUGAAAUGCGUAGAUAUCUGGAGGAACACCGGUGGCGAAGGCGGCAUCCUGGACCAAUAUUGACGCUGAGGAGCGAAAGCCAGGGGAGCAAACGGG
rnacentral:rRNA from 1 species